AAAAAAAGAAGAAGAGUAGAAUUAGAAGAAUGAAGGGGCAGCAAGGGAACCGACCUUGUUGGAGUGGAAGCUAAGGAAACUCAAAGCGAGGGCGUGCCUGAGGCUGAGGCCGAGGCUGACCCUUUUUCACACGGACUUGGAAUUAAAAUUCAAUUCGGUUUAGUUUUUUUUUUUAGACUAUAAAUACCACGCGUCCGGCUUUCCUAAGUUCUCCGUUCCUCUUUGUUUGUAAUAUCAAUCGUAUAUGUUGAUUAGGGUGAAGACGAAGCUUCAAUGACCAAUAUCCCUUCCUCCUUCACUCAUUCCUCUUUCACUCUCUUCACCCUCGCAAUCUCUUCUUACCAUCCUUGGCCUUUUUCUCUUUAACAUCUACCUUAACUUUCUGCCUUUUCCGAUGGGUUUCGGCGGCGACAAGCAUCAUCAGCACCUCCUGCAUCUGAAUUUCCAUUUCCACAUUCAUUUUCCUCAUUUUCACCACCAUCGGAACAAGGUGGAGACUCCCAAAGGAUGUUUGGCCAUUCUUGUUGGCCAAGAGCAACAGCGGUUCGUCAUUCCUGUCAUUUAUGUCAACCAUCCUUUAUUUGUUCAGCUCUUGAAGGAGGCCGAGGACGAGUAUGGCUUCGAUCAGAAAGGACCAAUCUCUAUUCCUUGCCCUGUCGACGACUUUCGCACCCUUCAGGGCAUUAUUCACCAUGAUCACCAUCACCACCAUCUUCCUGUCUCCUGUUUCAGGGAUUCUUCUCAUUCCCAUUGCUGAUAUUGAUGAAAAAACUACGUUAGAUUUUAGUUUUAGCUUUUCUUUCUUUCAUUAUUGGUUUUCUGAUACACAUAACCCAUUACCAAUUCAUGCGUUUCCAUUGAUUUCUGAAUUUGGAUUUUCUCCUGUUAAUAUAUUGUCACGGUCAAGUCAACAUUGAAUGCGGUAUCAUAUAUGCUAUAUGAGCCUUUUUCAGCCAUGUUCUUUCUUAUAAUUAAAAUGAUGUAAUCAGAACUAUCUGGAAUGAAUAUUUGUUUGUUUAAAUUGGAAGUUUUAAAAUGAUGAUGACAUCUAUGUGAAGGGAAAAGGGGUGGAUGAAUGGAGAUUGCUUUGCUUGCAAGGGUGUAAUAGCUUUUUAAUUUAUUCUUUCUGGCAAUGGCGAGCUUUGGUGCACGCGUCUUUCUCUGUAAAUUAAACCGCAUUUGAAUAACGUAAAGUCAAAUUCUCUUUUAAAAAGAUUAUUAUGCUUCUUCCACUUACAAUAUUGCAUUGCAGAUGCCAUCGUUGACUUCUUCCAACCUUGUCCAUCCAUCCACACCCCACAUGCUCGAGUGGCAAUGCUUUCCCAUCCUGCAACAGCCUCCAGUUGAUGUACACUGAUUGCAGCUGCGCAGAACUCCUCGAAGUCCAUUCUCUCACGAGCGAGUGGUUCCAUCUUAACACAAGUUGGAAAUGUUAGUGAAAAAGAACAUCCCAGGCCGGGGCAGGGGAAGCAUUAUGCCAAAGUUGCAGAGAAUGUAACUUGAUCUCGGUGUAUGCAGACAGGGCCCUAUUCUCACUGGCAACCAUAUUAUAGAUAUAAAACUAAAAGUGAACUCACCAUUUUUAGAAUGUCAGCAACAUGGGACUCUCUCAUUGCAUCAGUUGCGUUUCUCGCAAGAGCCUGUACAAGGUCAUAAUGUGUAUUGCAUCAAACACAAUUACAGAUAAAUGUCAAAGCAAAAAUAAUGGCAAAAGGCUGACCGCUUUGAAGUUAUCAAGGGUCACAAAUCUAUUUUGCGGUUCUAAGAGCUUAAAUUGGGUCCUGAGGUAGAAAAGUUCAUCUUCUGUCAAAGCUUUUGCAAGUGCCUGCGAUAAUGAAACAGUAAGUAGACCUGUCCAGUAAAAGUUGAUGAUGCAUUAUUGUGCACGAAACAAUGUACAGAAACUACAUAGCAAGAGCGUCUAUAUCAAAGAUAGGCGAUAGAUCACCAGUGCUUGGAUACAGAAUUACGCACAGAAACUUCUAAGAUUGAUGCAAGGGGGAACUGCUGGAGUUCAACUUUUGUACAGUUCAGUUUAGCAAUUACCUUCAAUGCUGCACGCUUGAAAGGAGUUGCACGGAUAUAUGCUUUAACUGACUUGUAUAUGAAGUUAUCCAAAGGCACAGCAAUGUUUUCAUCUCGUAA